AGAGUUUGAUUAUGGCUCAGGAUGAACGCUGGCGGCGUGCCUAAUACAUGCAAGUCGAACGCUUCACUUCGGUGAAGAGUGGCGAACGGGUGAGUAAUACAUAAGUAACCUGGCAUCUACAGGGGGAUAACUGAUGGAAACGUCAGCUAAGACCGCAUAGGUGUAGAGAUCGCAUGAACUCUAUAUGAAAAGUGCUACGGGACUGGUAGAUGAUGGACUUAUGGCGCAUUAGCUUGUUGGUAGGGUAACGGCCUACCAAGGCGACGAUGCGUAGCCGACCUGAGAGGGUGACCGGCCACACUGGGACUGAGACACGGCCCAGACUCCUACGGGAGGCAGCAGUAGGGAAUUUUCGGCAAUGGGGGAAACCCUGACCGAGCAACGCCGCGUGAAGGAAGAAGUAAUUCGUUAUGUAAACUUCUGUCAUAGAGGAAGAACGGUGGAUAUAGGGAAUGAUAUCCAAGUGACGGUACUCUAUAAGAAAGCCACGGCUAACUACGUGCCAGCAGCCGCGGUAAUACGUAGGUGGCGAGCGUUAUCCGGAAUUAUUGGGCGUAAAGAGGGAGCAGGCGGCACUAAGGGUCUGUGGUGAAAGAUCGAAGCUUAACUUCGGUAAGCCAUGGAAACCGUAGAGCUAGAGUGUGUGAGAGGAUCGUGGAAUUCCAUGUGUAGCGGUG
rnacentral:rRNA from 1 species